GACGAACGCUGGCGGCGUGCUUAACACAUGCAAGUCGAACGAUGAAGCCUAGCUUGCUAGGUGGAUUAGUGGCGAACGGGUGAGUAAUACGUGAGUAACCUACCUUUAACUCUGGGAUAAGCCUGGGAAACUGGGUCUAAUACCGGAUACGACCAAUCUCCGCAUGGGGUGUUGGUGGAAAGCGUUAUGUAGUGGUUAUAGAUGGGCUCACGGCCUAUCAGCUUGUUGGUGAGGUAACGGCUCACCAAGGCGACGACGGGUAGCCGGCCUGAGAGGGUGACCGGCCACACUGGGACUGAGACACGGCCCAGACUCCUACGGGAGGCAGCAGUGGGGAAUAUUGCACAAUGGGCGCAAGCCUGAUGCAGCGACGCCGCGUGAGGGAUGACGGCCUUCGGGUUGUAAACCUCUGUUAGCAGGGAAGAAGAGAGAUUGACGGUACCUGCAGAGAAAGCGCCGGCUAACUACGUGCAGCAGCCGCGGUAAUACGUAGGGCGCGAGCGUUGUCCGGAAUUAUUGGGCGUAAAGAGCUUGUAGGCGGUUUGUCGCGUCUGCUGUGAAAGGCCGGAGCUUAACUCCGUGUAUUGCAGUGGGUACGGGCAGACUAGAGUGCAGUAGGGGAGACUGGAAUUCCUGGUGUAGCGGUGGAAUGCGCAGAUAUCAGGAGGAACACCGAUGGCGAAGGCAGGUCUCUGGGCUGUAACUGACGCUGAGAAGCGAAAGCAUGGGGAGCGAACAGGAUUAGAUACCCUGGUAGUCCAUGCCGUAAACGUUGGGCACUAGGUGUGGGGAACAUUCCACGUUUUCCGCGCCGUAGCUAACGCAUUAAGUGCCCCGCCUGGGGAGUACGGCCGCAAGGCUAAAACUCAAAGAAAUUGACGGGGGCCCGCACAAGCGGCGGAGCAUGCGGAUUAAUUCGAUGCAACGCGAAGAACCUUACCAAGGCUUGACAUAUACUGGACCGCAUCAGAGAUGGUGUUUCCCUUCGGGGCUGGUAUACAGGUGGUGCAUGGUUGUCGUCAGCUCGUGUCGUGAGAUGUUGGGUUAAGUCCCGCAACGAGCGCAACCCUCGUUCUAUGUUGCCAGCACGUUAUGGUGGGGACUCAUAGGAGACUGCCGGGGUCAACUCGGAGGAAGGUGGGGAUGACGUCAAAUCAUCAUGCCCCUUAUGUCUUGGGCUUCACGCAUGCUACAAUGGCCGGUACAGAGGGUUGCGAUACUGUGAGGUGGAGCUAAUCCCUAAAAGCCGGUCUCAGUUCGGAUUGGGGUCUGCAACUCGACCCCAUGAAGUCGGAGUCGCUAGUAAUCGCAGAUCAGCAACGCUGCGGUGAAUACGUUCCCGGGCCU
rnacentral:rRNA from 1 species